rnacentral:rRNA from 1 species
GACGAACGCUGGCGGCGUGCCUAAUACAUGCAAGUCGAGCGGACUGAUUAAGAGCUUGCUCUUAUGACGUUAGCGGCGGACGGGUGAGUAACACGUGGGCAACCUGCCCUGUAGAUCGGGAUAACACCGAGAAAUCGGUGCUAAUACCGGGUAAUAUCUGAGAUCACAUGAUCUUAGGUUAAAAGAUGGCUCCGGCUAUCACUACAGGAUGGGCCCGCGGCGCAUUAGCUAGUUGGUAAGGUAAUGGCUUACCAAGGCGACGAUGCGUAGCCGACCUGAGAGGGUGAUCGGCCACACUGGGACUGAGGCACGGCCCAGACUCCUACGGGAGGCAGCAGUAGGGAAUCUUCCGCAAUGGACGAAAGUCUGACGGAGCAACGCCGCGUGAGUGAUGAAGGGUUUCGGCUCGUAAAGCUCUGUUGUUAGGGAAGAAACAGUACCGAACGAACUAGGUCGGUACCUUGACGGUACCUAACCAGAAAGCCACGGCUAACUACGUG